AUGGCCAGUCUAUUAGCCAGGGCACUGUACUGCUUUCCACUGCAAUAUUAUAUGCUUUUUCAAAAUAGAUAUGCUCCCUCCACACAUACACACACACACAACCAUACCCACACACACCCAAAUCCUAUUUUGAGAAUAGUUGAUCUCUCAGAACUUUAGAUAUGAUGUUGGCUUAGUGGUUCCCAGACUUUUAGAUUGCAUGGAGCAGUGAAAAAAAAAAAGAAGUAGGGACCAACAUUGGGCUGCCACCUUAUUAUUUUACCAAGUAAAGAUACUACCAUCAACAUUUCAUAAAAGACACUUCAAUACCAUAAUAGCUGAAAUAAUAAUAAAAAAUUAAAUUUGAGCUGAUAGCUUUCUAUUAGCAUUAUUUGUAUUUUUCCUUUGAGGAGAGCUGAAAAUUUAGUCUUGGCCUAGAAUCUGGGAACAAUUGCCUAAAAUGCCAUUUAGUCCAUUCACCUCACAAUUUAAAAGGCUGAGAGGUGAGUGGCUUUGCCUGAGGUCAGCUAGUAUUACAAUUAAGGAGACAAAGCACAGCUUCUAACAACUAGAAUUACACACCCUCAAAGAUACCCAUGCACAAAAUACUGUCUGUUGCUAAUCAGGAGCCAAAGUCAAUGCUUAUCUUAAAGCAAAACCAAAUCAAAAACCUCCCUAACUAAUGUAAAAUCCAAUAAUCUCACCUACUUGUAGUACAAAUACUGGUAUACAUGGUUGUUGCUGUUUUGUCAAGGACAUACAUCAUAAAUUACCAUAAUUAUAUAAACUAUGCCAUAAAUAAUAAAUAGUAGGAGCUUCUAAUUCUCCAAAAGUUUCUCAGUCUCAAUUACUCGGUCUACAGAAGCCUAAUAAAUGUCUGUUGCAUGAACAGAUGAACAUCACUCUAAAAAACAAGAUUUUUCACAUUAGAAACUUCUCAACCUAGCACAAACUUUUCAGAAAUAAUUAAAACAUAAAUGACGUAGAGAAAAACAGAUGUAAGCCCCACUCACUUUGCCUCAAUGAAAUGAAAAGCUCUUAGAAGCAUUAAGGUGCUUAGCUAGAACAGUAACUACACACAAUGACUUUUGUGUAAAAAAAAUCUCACAUUAACCUAACUACACUCAUGUUGGUUUUUAGGUUAAAUAACAUGAAAAGGUUUUAAUCAUAAAUGAAUGCUAGUUCAAAAGCAUGUAAAAAUUUUAACACAACCUUGAAAAUCCAUUUACCUAAUUCGUCUUUCAAAAUACUCAAGAUCUGUUUCACAGUAAGGUGGUCAUUUAUAUUUUUGCCAUACACACACACUCAUAUAAUCCUAUAGUUUUGAAAACUGGUAUCAGGUUCCCCGACAUUACAAAAAUGCAUGACUAACAAUAUAAUUUCAAAUUCAAGAUAAAGAAUAGUCUGACAAGUUAGAAGAAUGUCCCUUUAUCAGAAACAUUGUGAGUUGACGGAUUUAUUUUUCUUUAAAAGCAUUAUUGCUCCGCUUUGCUGACAUGCAUACUUAUUUUAAAAAGGAGGUGGGCAAAGAAAAUAAUUUCCUUUGAGGAAGAGCUGAAAAGUUAGUCUUGGCCUAGAAUCUGGGAACAAUUGCCUAAAGAAUCUAAUAGAAUCAGUUUGUAGGGUUUUAGAUUUUGGGGUUUUUGUUGUUGCUUUUUUGAGAUGAAGUUUCGCUCUUGUUGCCCAGGUACGAUCUUGGCUCACCGCAACAUCCACCUCCUGGGUUCCCGUGAUUCUCCUAGCUCAGCCUUCCGAGUGUUAGGGAUUACAGGCAUGUGCCACCACACCCAGCUAAUUUUGUAUUUUUAGUAGCAACAGGGUUUCACCAUAUUGGCCAGGCUGCACUUGAACUCCUGACCUCAUGAUCCACCCACCUUGGCCUCCCAAAGCGCUGAGAUUACAGGUGUGAUACCCGUGCCUGACCAGGAUUUCAGAUUUUAUGAUGAAUAUGUAACUUAAA
ensembl:lncRNA